GUUACAUCGAUAAUUCAUCCAAAUUACAAAAUGACUGGUUUCCUUACCCUGUAGUGUUGGUAGUUUAUGGACAAGGUUUGACAGCAAUCCAUGCUUUUAUUUUGUUUCCCUGACACUGGGAAAUACAAGUUUUAGCAUUUGUGGCACAAAUCUAAUGAAAGUCAAUAGUAGCUAUUUUACCAUUUCCCGCUCUUUAUGUCGAAAUGAUCUGUUAGUGACAGCAUUGAGCUACACAAUCAAUUUGAGUUUCUUUAGGUUGAUUUGGACAUGAAGCACGAAAAAUGUAAUAUUUGGGAGGGGAUCAGCUGGACCUGCUACAUCCUGUGCCUCUAAAAGAUACCUGUAUCGCCAUCAUACUGAGCUCCAGAUGACAAAACUUGCACACACUCCAAGGGUUGCAGGACUGCCGACUUCCUUUUGGUCACAUAUUUUAUUCAGAGAAAUAUGCAAUAAACCAAAGACAUUGCUUUACCUGUGAAUGUACUUUAUUGAAGACUUUUUGAUAAUGGAUAUGUAGGUGUAAAUAUCUCCAAUCCUAAAAUAUAAUGGCGCAUACAUAAAAUAUACAAGUUAUUACAAUUUAUUUACAUUGGGUCCAAUGUGGGUGUAUGAGAGAGUCAUGUUUUGUAACAGACAAAAGCACACAGACUAUUGUGUGUGUGUGUGGGAGAGAGGGAGAGAGAAUAUGUGUGUGAAUGUUGAAUUUUAUUUUUUCUUGUCAGCCACCAUCUCUCCUAACCAUGAUCUUUCCACCAACUGUGAGAAAGCACAACUGCACAUGUCCGUUGUGGAAAAUGGAUAACAUAAUCUGUAUGCCUAAAUAUCUCCAAUCCUAAAAUAAAAUGGACCAUACAUAUAAAAUAAACAAGUAAUUACAAUA